AUACUCUGGUUUCUCUUCAGAUCGAUUAAAUCUUUUGCUUUUUUCUAAAGAUUUACACGGAGAGAAACGACCAUGAGUUUGUUUUUUUUGUUUUUAAAAAAGGUUUUUUAUCUGACGUU